AUAUAAAACCUUUUAGACUAAAUUAGAAGUAUGGCAAACAUAAUAUAAUUAACAUAAAACAAUACAGAGAAUAAACCCUUAAGCCAACAUGUCAGCCUAAAAUUUCAGUAUAAAAUCUCUCUGGCAAAAAGAUCAUUGCAUGUUGGCCACUUGAUUUGAAAUUUGUUUUUGUCUUUUCAGAUUUACUCAAACAGCUGCUGUGCUUGAAAAUCUUAUUACUUCCAUGACUCAGCAGUUGACUUCUGCAAUUCAACCAAAUUUUGCUGGAACAUUGCUCGCUGCCAUAAAUAAUCCCGUUGGCUGCCUUGCAAAUCAAGGGUAACACUGAAAAUUAAAGCAUAUGGAAUUUCCGUGAGGAUAAGUCUCAGGGUGAAUAUUUACUUUGCACCGACUGAUUUAUUUAGGCUGUGGGAGAUUCCUCUACAUUAUGGGUCGUUGGGUCUGUACUCUAAACUGUGAAGUCAGCAUUGUUUCUAAUUGUCAUGCAGAUUUCACUUCUUUAAUAAAGGCAGACACUACAUUGCAAUAUUGCCUUGUCAUUU